rnacentral:rRNA from 1 species
AGGACGAACGCUGGCGGCGCGCUUAACACAUGCAAGUCGAGCGAGAACCGAAGCCUUCGGGCAUCGGGGAAAGCGGCGAACGGGUGAGUAACACGUGGGCAACCCACCCUUGGUACCGGGAUAGCCCGGGGAAACCCGGAUUAAUACCGGAUGGCCCAGCAGCCUUUCGGGGCGGCUGGAAAAGGGAGCUUCGGGCCUCCGACCAAGGACGGGCCCGCGGCGGAUUAGCUUGUUGGUGGGGUAACGGCCUACCAAGGCGACGAUCCGUAGCUGGUCUGAGAGGACGAUCAGCCACAUUGGGACUGAGACACGGCCCAAACUCCUACGGGAGGCAGCAGUGGGGAAUAUUGGACAAUGGGCGAAAGCCUGAUCCAGCAAUGCCGCGUGGAUGAAGAGGUUUUCGGAUUGUAAAGUCCUUUCGGCGGGACGAUGAUGACGGUACCGCAGAAGAACGCCCCGGCUAACUUCGUGCCAGCAGCCGC